rnacentral:lncRNA from 1 species
CAAAUAGGGCCAGAAGCGGCCUAUGGGCCAGUAGAUUGUGGCUCACGGUAAAUUAUGUGGGUCCAAAGGUGUGACGGGUGCAGUUUGGACCCAAAUGCAGCACUCUGGAAAGCUGGAUCGUAGUAAUGACUUUUAUUAACACACGGGCAAACAGGAACUCAGGCAGACAAGGAAACACAGGAAACAGUCCGUUCUUCAGACUCUGGGCCCGCACAAAGUCUAUGGGUUGCAGGCUCGGGGAGUGGGACGAGCAGUAGCGAAGUCGGGGCCGGGCGGAGAAGUCUAAACCAGGUGAGCAGACAGGAACCAGAGACACUGAGGCAGAAGUCGUAGUCAGGGGCAGAAAGCAGGUAGUAAGCGGGUAAUCCGGCAGGGAAACAACGCUGGAAAGUCUCGCAUGAAAGCAGAAGAACAAUCUGGCACUGAGUGAGUGUGAGGCUGGAAAAGGGGAACUGGGGAAAAGGGGCUGUGACAAAAGGAAAAAUUCUAAUGUGCAAGCAUGAUGAUGAUGAUAAAAUAAAGAACCAUGAUCUCUUCCAGCAUGCUUUUAGAACCAUACUUGAGCCAUAAAAUAGUUGAUCAAUAAAAGCCACAGAAAAAAUGAAAGAGAAAGUAUUCAUUUCUGACUGAGAAGAAAGACCGAAGACUGACACAAGGUAAGUUUAAAAGAAUGUUGUAGUAAUCUCAUCUACUCAUCAUCUUCAGGAAGACCCAUCCCAUAGAGUUCUAUAACAAUCAACAAAAACAUUUUAAGGUCUUUUUGUCAGUGAUACAACUGUUGGAGUUCUAAGACUUGUUCACAGUUCACUUUGGGGAUUUUGUGAGCGUUACCCUUGUUGAUGUUAAGUCAAAUUCUAAUUAGAGUUAUUGUAUUUUUCAACAGUAUGGAGGAGGAGGAUGGACCAGAGUCUCCAGUGUCCAGCUGUGUGUCUCUGAAGAGUGACAUGUCCAAAGCUGAACCUUUAAGAUUCAGAGAUGAAGCUGGACCUUCAAACCCAAAGAAGGAGUCCAUCUUCCCACGCUGGGUCCAGUCUGCCCCACCAGGAGAGUCCUCUGGUGAACACUCUGACAGCCUGCAGAGAGAUGCUGAAAUGACGACUUUACAAAUAAGUGAACUACAGGAGGUUCUAGAAGGACACAAGAUCAGUCUGAAGAGAAGAUGUGAACAUGUGACUGAAGGAACUAAUGAAGCAGGAAGUGGAAUCCUGCUGAACAAGAUCUACACUGAGCUCUACAUCACUGAGGGACAAAGUGAGGAGGUGAACACACAACAUGAGGUGAGACAGCUUGAGAGGACUUCCAAGAAGAACAUCUAGGACACUCCAAUCAAGUGCCAGGACAUCUUCAAAGCCUUGUCUGAGCAAGAGAAACACAUCCGAGUGGUUCUGACAAACGGUGUCGCUGGUGUUGGAAAAACCUUCUCAGUGCAAAAGUUCACUCUGGACUGGGCAGAAGGUUUGGAGAACCAAGACAUCAGUCUGGUGCUUCUGCUCUCAUUCAGGGAGCUGAACUUGAUCAAAGAGGAGCAGUUCAGUCUUCUCUCACUGCUUCAUGUUUUCCAUCCAACAUUACAGAAGCUCAGAGCAGAAGAUCUGACUCUCUGUAAACUUCUGUUCAUCUUUGAUGGCCUGGAUGAAAGCAGACUCUCACUGGACUUGAAAUGUAAAAGAUUUUAUUUCAUUUGAUUAUCAACUGAUUCAUUUAAAUAUGUAUUAAAUCCAUUUAUAGACUGAGACACUGCAGUUUAUCAGAGAUCAGCUGUGGUUCUCUGGCCUCAGCUCUGAGGUCCAACCCCUCCCACCUGACACAACUGGACCUGAGUGAGAACAACCUGCAGGAUUCAGGAGUGAAGCUGUUGUCUGAUCUUGUGAUCAGUCCAAACCACAAACUGGAGACUCUGAGACCAGCCACUAUUGGAAGAUGAUGAUGGCAACAGUUGUUAUAGUUGUCCAUCCAUCCAUCCAUCCAUCCAUCAUCCAUCCAUCCAUCCAUCCAUCCAUCCAUCCAUCCAUCCAUCCAUCCAUCCAUCCAUCCAUCCAUCCAUCCAUCCAUCCAUCCAUUGGCAGCCAAUGGGCCAAACAACUUAGGAUGGUUAGCCAUCGGUCUGAAAUACCACAACCAAUUCUAUUAAAUAACUAUGUAAAUAUAAAUCAGCUGGUCAGUUGGCAACAUCUACUUGCUGCUGCUAUUGAUUUUUAAGUUGCUUGUUUUUAUUUGGCAAACGUGGACUUUAAUGUGUUUUGAAUGUGUAAAUAAAAUGUAAAGAAUGCUGCAAAGAAUUUCAGCUGUUUGAAUGUUGUUCCUGGGAUCUGCUGAAGCCACUGACCCUGCUGGGGGGGGGGUUCCAGUUCCUUUUCCUGCCCCCAGAUGCUCAAGUUCAUUACCUUUUCAACAUUAGUUUCAACAUUUCAAUAAAAGUAAAUUCUAAAUAUCUGUCUGGAAAAUUACAAGACACUUUUGGACAAAUGCAAAAAAUAAAAUGAACAAAUUCAAACAUAAA